rnacentral:rRNA from 1 species
GAGCGCGCCUUUCGGGGUGAGCGGCGGACGGGUUAGUAACGCGUGGGAAUAUACCCUUUUCUACGGAAUAGCCUCUGGAAACGGAGAGUAAUACCGUAUGAGCCCUUCGGGGGAAAGAUUUAUCGGGAAAGGAUUAGCCCGCGUUAGAUUAGGUAGUUGGUGGGGUAAUGGCCUACCAAGCCUACGAUCUAUAGCUGGUUUUAGAGGAUGAUCAGCAACACUGGGACUGAGACACGGCCCAGACUCCUACGGGAGGCAGCAGUGGGGAAUCUUGGACAAUGGGGGCAACCCUGAUCCAGCCAUGCCGCGUGAGUGAUGAAGGCCUUAGGGUCGUAAAGCUCUUUCGCCUGUGAAGAUAAUGACGGUAGCAGGUAAAGAAACCCCGGCUAACUCCGUGCCAGCAGCCGCGGUAAUACGGAGGGGGUUAGCGUUGUUCGGAAUUACUGGGCGUAAAGCGCACGUAGGCGGACUGGAAAGUUGGGGGUGAAAUCCCAGGGCUCAACCCUGGAACUGCCUCCAAAACUAUCAGUCUAGAGUUCGAGAGAGGUGAGUGGAAUUCCGAGUGUAGAGGUGAAAUUCGUAGAUAUUCGGAGGAACACCAGUGGCGAAGGCGGCUCACUGGCUCGAUACUGACGCUGAGGUGCGAAAGUGUGGGGAGCAAACAGGAUUA